rnacentral:rRNA from 1 species
GAUGAACGCUGGCGGCGUGCCUAAUACAUGCAAGUCGAGCGAACGGACGAGAAGCUUGCUUCUCUGAUGUUAGCGGCGGACGGGUGAGUAACACGUGGAUAACCUACCUAUAAGACUGGGAUAACUUCGGGAAACCGGAGCUAAUACCGGAUAAUAUUUUGAACCGCAUGGUUCAAAAGUGAAAGACGGUCUUGCUGUCACUUAUAGAUGGAUCCGCGCUGCAUUAGCUAGUUGGUAAGGUAACGGCUUACCAAGGCAACGAUGCAUAGCCGACCUGAGAGGGUGAUCGGCCACACUGGAACUGAGACACGGUCCAGACUCCUACGGGAGGCAGCAGUAGGGAAUCCUCCGCAAUGGGCGAAAGCCUGACGGAGCAACGCCGCGUGAGUGAUGAAGGUCUUCGGAUCGUAAAACUCUGUUAUUAGGGAAGAACAUAUGUGUAAGUAACUGUGCACAUCUUGACGGUACCUAAUCAGAAAGCCACGGCUAACUACGUGCCAGCAGCCGCGGUAAUACGUAGGUGGCAAGCGUUAUCCGGAAUUAUUGGGCGUAAAGCGCGCGUAGGCGGUUUUUUAAGUCUGAUGUGAAAGCCCACGGCUCAACCGUGGAGGGUCAUUGGAAACUGGAAAACUUGAGUGCAGAAGAGGAAAGUGGAAUUCCAUGUGUAGCGGUGAAAUGCGCAGAGAUAUGGAGGAACACCAGUGGCGAAGGCGACUUUCUGGUCUGUAACUGACGCUGAUGUGCGAAAGCGUGGGGAUCAAACAGGAUUAGAUACCCUGGUAGUCCACGCCGUAAACGAUGAGUGCUAAGUGUUAGGGGGUUUCCGCCCCUUAGUGCUGCAGCUAACGCAUUAAGCACUCCGCCUGGGGAGUACGACCGCAAGGUUGAAACUCAAAGGAAUUGACGGGGACCCGCACAAGCGGUGGAGCAUGUGGUUUAAUUCGAAGCAACGCGAAGAACCUUACCAAAUCUUGACAUCCUUUGACAACUCUAGAGAUAGAGCCUUCCCCUUCGGGGGGCAAAGUGACAGGUGGUGCAUGGUUGUCGUCAGCUCGUGUCGUGAGAUGUUGGGUUAAGUCCCGCAACGAGCGCAACACUUAAGCUUAGUUGCCAUCAUUAAGUUGGGCACUCUAAGUUGACUGCCGGUGACAAACCGGAGGAAGGUGGGGAUGACGUCAAAUCAUCAUGCCCCUUAUGAUUUGGGCUACACACGUGCUACAAUGGACAAUACAAAGGGCAGCGAAACCGCGAGGUCAAGCAAAUCCCAUAAAGUUGUUCUCAGUUCGGAUUGUAGUCUGCAACUCGACUACAUGAAGCUGGAAUCGCUAGUAAUCGUAGAUCAGCAUGCUACGGUGAAUACGUUCCCGGGUCU